rnacentral:rRNA from 1 species
CAAUAGCGUAUAUUAAAGUUGUUGCGGUUAAAAAGCUCGUAGUUGGAUUUCUGCUGAGAACGACCGGUCCGCCCUUUGGGUGUGUAUCUGGCUCUUUCUUGGCAUCUUCUUGGUGAACGUUGCUGCACUUGACUGUGUGGAGCGCUACCCAGGACUUUUACUUUGAGGAAAUUAGAGUGUUUCAAGCAGGCAUACGCCUUGAAUACAUUAGCAUGGAAUAAUAAGAUAGGACCUCGGUUCUAUUUUGUUGGUUUCUAGAGCUGAGGUAAUGAUUAAUAGGGAUAGUUGGGGGCAUUCGUAUUUAACUGUCAGAGGUGAAAUUCUUGGAUUUAUGAAAGACGAACGACUGCGAAAGCAUUUACCAAGGAUGUUUUCAUUAA